UGGAGUGUAGCUCAGUGGUAAGAGUGCCAGCCUAGCAUGUGGGAAGCCUUGGGCUCAAAACCCAUCACUGCAC
rnacentral:tRNA from 1 species